rnacentral:lncRNA from 1 species
AGGUGGACGCUGCCGGGACCCGGGGUCGGACCGCGCAGGGGAGGCGCAGGUGCGUGGUCCUGCCGCAGGUGCAGGGGACCUGGCUGGAAGGCGGGGGAGGGGCAUCUGGCCUGCAGAACCUCGCUCCACCUCGGAUGCGCUUGAGGUGGGCAUAGGAAUUUGCUUCGAAGCCUGUAACGGAAAAGAAGACGGGAAUGGAGGGCUUACAGGGAAGAGAUUUCACAGGUUCUAGAUGAAUAAACUCAACCCAGACAGAUGCUUUCAGGUGACAUAAAGCGGACACAGGGCUCCUGCAAGACAAAGACUGUGGGAGCCCAGGGCAGCCCAGCUGGGGGCAGAGGCUGAGGUGGAGGAGGGGAGUAUGAGCCCUUUGUGGGGGGCCUUGCAGAGGUCAGAGGGGGAGAGUAGAUACCCACCUCUCCAAAGAGGCAGAGCAGCUUUUCCGUGGAGAUUUGAAGGACUGGGAGGCUCAGAGGCCCAGCCGUACGUGGGAGUCCAGGGAGAAGUGCAGCUGAGACCUGCUGAGAAGCGUGGUGAUGCUGGGAACUUCAAGAGCAACCAGGCCUGGCUUGCCAGCCAGCCUGUCCCAGCUCUGCGUCUCUCCAGCUUCCUUCCUAAAUCACCACCACCACCUGCCCUAGGAGUGGAGCCCUUGGGUUGGAGCCAGCUGAUUGGAUGUGAGCUCUAAGGUGAGCGUUUUGCUCAAGAACUGUAGCUGCUAGAAGGUAUAUAACAUCUCAUUCAGAUGCCAGGAAAAGAAGAAGUGGGGUGGAGAUGUUUGUGCAUCUAACGGGUGGGUGGCGGGAAUGACAAUGACAUAAAUCUCCUAAUUCCAUAAGGACGUGGGACUCUCUGCUGACUGGGUCUUAGAACACUGGUAAAUUGUUCCACAGCAGUAGAAAGGGAUGCGGGGUUUUUAGGACACAUCCUAAGGAGAUCCCAUUCUUGUCGGUAUUCCACGUGCAUGCACAGACAACAGCUAAAAGGAAAUGAUGAUACAUGUUGGGGGUGAGGGAGCCAGUCGCUUUUAAUUUAUUCCUUAUACUUCCUGGAUUAUGUGAGAAAAAUUUAAAUAGCACAUAUUAAUUUAAUAAUCAGAUGGGGAAAAAUAAAGAUCUUAGAAGCUGAGAAAGAAAAUCA